AAAACGUUCACUCUUGCUUAUGUGAAGCUUGGGUAAGGUUGUGAAUAAAUAAUUGGAGCUUGAAAUUGUAAAUACUGAAACUUGGAGAAAGCUGAUUAGUUGAGGUUUUGAGGGCUGUGUUCUUCAGGAAAAUUGUCUUGGAAUAAUACUUGGGAAUCGGCUAAGAUGUAGGUCGAGAGGCAUCUCGUUAGGCGUCUGGACCCUUGGAGCAAAGUGGUUACUGGGCUAUUUUGUUGUACAGUGAUGUAUAUGUAUGUACUUAGCUUUCUCUCCGCAUAAUUUGUUCU